rnacentral:rRNA from 1 species
GAUGAACGCUGGCGGCGUGCCUAAUACAUGCAAGUCGAGCGAACGGACGAGAAGCUUGCUUCUCUGAUGUUAGCGGCGGACGGGUGAGUAACACAUGGAUAACCUACCUAUAAGACUGGGAUAACUUCGGGAAACCGUAGCUAAUACCGGAUAAUAUUUUGAACCGCAUGGUUCAAAAGUGAAAGACGGUCUUGCUGUCACUUAUAGAUGGAUCCGCGCUGCAUUAGCUAGUUGGUAAGGUAACGGCUUACCAAGGCAACGAUGCAUAGCCGACCUGAGAGGGUGAUCGGCCACAUUGGAACUGAGACACGGUCCAGACUCCUACGGGAGGCAGCAGUAGGGAAUCUUCCGCAAUGGGCGAAAGCCUGACGGAGCAACGCCGCGUGAGUGAUGAAGGUCUUCGGAUCGUAAAACUCUGUUAUUAGGGAAGAACAUAUGUGUAAGUAACUGUGCACAUCUUGACGGUACCUAAUCAGAAAGCCACGGCUAACUACGUG